UCCUCAGUAGCUCAGUGGUAGAGCGAUCGGCUGUUAACCGAUUGGUCGUUGGUUCAAAUCCGACUUGGGGAG
rnacentral:tRNA from 1 species